CCUACGGGUGGCAGCAGUGAGGAAUAUUGGUCAAUGGGCGCGAGCCUGAACCAGCCAAGUAGCGUGAAGGAUGACUGCCCUACGGGUUGUAAACUUCUUUUAUAAAGGAAUAAAGUGAGGCACGUGUGCCUUUUUGCAUGUACUGUAUGAAUAAGGAUCGGCUAACUCCGUGCCAGCAGCCGCGGUAAUACGGAGGAUCCGAGCGUUAUCCGGAUUUAUUGGGUUUAAAGGGAGCGUAGAUGGGUUGGUAAGUCAGUUGUGAAAGUUGGGGGCUCAACCGUAAAAUUGCAAUGGAUACUGGCAGGCUUGAGUACAGGUGAGGUAGGCGGAAUUCGUGGUGUAGCGGUGAAAUGCUUAGAUAUCACGAAGAACGCCGAUUGCGAAGGCAGCUUACUAAACUGCCACUGACGUUGAUGCUCGAAAGUGUGGGUAUCGAACAGGAUUAGAUACCCGUGUAGUC
rnacentral:rRNA from 1 species